UCCAGAAUCACUGGAGGACGUGCCGGACUACCCUCUGUUCAUCUCCAUCGGUGAUUGGCUGGACUCCAUCAAGAUGAGCCAAUACAAGAACCAGUUCCUGGCAGCAGGGUUCACCACCCUGGACUCUGUCUCCACCAUGAGUAUAGAGGACAUCAGGCGUAUCGGUGUGUCUCUGAUUGGCCACCAGAGGAGGAUAGUGAGCAGCAUUCAGAGUCUCCGUCUCCAGUUCCUCACCGUCCAACACAACGGCUUCCACAUCUAAACCAACCCCCCAGAACGCUAGGACUGCACAGACAGACAGACAGGCCUGGGUGUGUUCAUUCGGCACCGAACGGUAAAGAAAAACAAACUGAAAACAGAUUCAGCUGAACUCGUUCAAUAAGAAACGCUUGGUUCUAGAAUUCUAGACGUUCUCUCGGCGGACUGGUGAACUGUUACCCGGCGGACCACAGUGGUUUUACCAAGGAGGCUUCUGUCCCUGAUCCAGAAGACUUUGAGAUGGAGGUAGUUUCAGCCCACGUCCUGUACAGUACAGUGGUCUUCUGUCCCUGAUCCAGAAGACUUUGAGAUGGAGGUAGUUUCAGCCCACGUCCUGAACAGUACAGUGGUCUUCUGUCCCUGAUCCAGAAGACUUUGAGAUGGAGGAAGUUUCAGCCCACGUCCUGUACAGUACAGUGGUCUUCUGUCCCUGAUCCAGAAGACUUUGAGAUGGAGGUAGUUUCAGCCCACGUCCUGAACAGUACAGUGGUCUUCUGUCCCUGAUCCAGAAGACUUUGAGAUGGAGGAAGU